rnacentral:rRNA from 1 species
AACGCUGGCGGCGUGCCUAAUACAUGCAAGUCGAGCGGACCGAACGAGAGCUUGCUCUUGUUCGGUCAGCGGCGGACGGGUGAGUAACACGUGGGCAACCUGCCCGCAAGACCGGGAUAACUCCGGGAAACCGGAGCUAAUACCGGAUAACACCAAAGACCGCAUGGUCUUUGGUUGAAAGGCGGCUUCGGCUGYCACUUGCGGAUGGGCCCGCGGCGCAUUAGCUAGUUGGUGAGGUAACGGCUCACCAAGGCGACGAUGCGUAGCCGGCCUGAGAGGGUGACCGGCCACACUGGGACUGAGACACGGCCCAGACUCCUACGGGAGGCAGCAGUAGGGAAUCUUCCGCAAUGGACGAAAGUCUGACGGAGCGACGCCGCGUGAGCGAAGAAGGCCUUCGGGUCGUAAAGCUCUGUUGUGAGGGACGAAGGAGCGCCGUUUGAAUAAGGCGGCGCGGUGACGGUACCUCACGAGAAAGCCCCGGCUAACUACGUGCCAGCAGCCGCGGUAAUACGUAGGGGGCGAGCGUUGUCCGGAAUUAUUGGGCGUAAAGCGCGCGCAGGCGGUCCUUUAAGUCUGAUGUGAAAGCCCACGGCUCAACCGUGGAGGGUCAUUGGAAACUGGGGGACUUGAGUGCAGGAGAGGAGAGCGGAAUUCCACGUGUAGCGGUGAAAUGCGUAGAGAUGUGGAGGAACACCAGUGGCGAAGGCGGCUCUCUGGCCUGUAACUGACGCUGAGGCGCGAAAGCGUGGGGAGCAAACAGGAUUAGAUACCCUGGUAGUCCACGCCGUAAACGAUGAGUGCUAAGUGUUAGAGGGGUCACACCCUUUAGUGCUGYAGCUAACGCGAUAAGCACUCCGCC